rnacentral:lncRNA from 1 species
UUUAUCUUACCUAUCGGAGGCCUAUUGCAGCGCCACACACCUUUUUCACGCCGAAAGGUUCUUAACAAUUAACAAUUAACAAGAUUUAUGGUAUGAAAGAGUACGAAAAUCAAAAAAGAAGAUUAUUUUUGAUUUAUUUCUUUUUUGAUUUUGAUUUGAAAAAAAAAAAAAGAAACUUUGGGAUUGCUGAAUCACAAAAAAAUAAAUAUAUAAAGCAACGGAGCCAUCAUAGUAUUUUUGAACUCCUCAAAAAAAAAGAAGGGUGGUAAUUGGAUCAUUUACCCAUCUGGGUAUAAUAGAACCCCCUUUUUAUCCUUGUUUGAUGAAGGGUAAAAAGCAAAUUCCAUUGGCGAGCCGUAUGCAAUGCGAAAAAGUGCCCGUACGGUUGUUCAAUUCUAUCUUUUUCUUUAUCUCUUCCCCUCGCCGAAUCGUGCGAGAUAGAGGAACCUUUUAUUAUGUUAUAAUAUAUCAUCAGGGUCAUGAUCCAUCAACCUAUUG